rnacentral:rRNA from 1 species
CCAGACUCCUACGGGAGGCAGCAGUGAGGAAUAUUGGUCAAUGGGCGGGAGCCUGAACCAGCCAAGUCGCGUGAGGGAAGACGGUCCUACGGAUUGUAAACCUCUUUUGCCGGGGAGCAACGGGGUCCUUGCGAGGGUCCGAUGAGAGUACCCGGAGAAAAAGCAUCGGCUAACUCCGUGCCAGCAGCCGCGGUAAUACGGAGGAUGCGAGCGUUAUCCGGAUUUAUUGGGUUUAAAGGGUGCGUAGGCGGUUUGAUAAGUUAGAGGUGAAAUGUCGGGGCUCAACCCCGAAACUGCCUCUAAUACUGUUGGACUAGAGAAUAGUUGCGGUAGGCGGAAUGUAUGGUGUAGCGGUGAAAUGCUUAGAGAUCAUACAGAACACCGAUUGCGAAGGCAGCUUACCAAACUAUAUCUGACGUUGAGGCACGAAAGCGUGGGUAGCAAACAGGAUUAGAUACCCUUGUAAU